rnacentral:rRNA from 1 species
AUUGAACGCUGGCGGAAUGCUUUACACAUGCAAGUCGAACGGCAGCACGGACUUCGGUCUGGUGGCGAGUGGCGAACGGGUGAGUAAUAUAUCGGAACGUAUCCAAUAAUGGGGGAUAACUAAUCGAAAGGUUGGCUAAUACCGCAUACGUCCUACGAGAGAAAGCUAGGGACCUUCGGGCCUGGCGUUAAUGGAGCGGCCGAUAUCGGAUUAGCUAGUUGGGGAGGUAAAGGCUCACCAAGGCGACGAUCCGUAGCUGGUCUGAGAGGACGACCAGCCACACUGGAACUGAGACACGGUCCAGACUCCUACGGGAGGCAGCAGUGGGGAAUUUUGGACAAUGGGCGAAAGCCUGAUCCAGCCAUUCCGCGUGAGUGAAGAAGGCCUUCGGGUUGUAAAGCUCUUUCGCAAGAGAAGAAAACUUACCCUCUAACAUAGGGUGAGGUUGACGGUAUCUUGAUAAGAAGCACCGGCUAACUACGUGCCAGCAGCCGCCGUAACAC